AAAGAGAUAGAGAGAGAGAAAGAGAAAGAAAGCAGUAAGAAAUGCUGGUGACAGUGAAAGAGUUAGGGAUGAAAUGCUUGUUAUAGAUGUAAUGGAAAACAGUAAGACAAAGACAAGAUAAAAAGAUGAUGAGAAUAACCCAAAAAACUAACAACCAAAUACACAGAAAAACUUUUCUUCACAACAGAGAAAUGGUUUCCUCGAGGAAAAUAAAAUGUUGUUUCCAAACUACAUAAGAAUUUAUGAAUCCUAGACAAUAUUCAGAAAUGGGUCACUCAUCUAAUUGGCAUUCACUUGCAUUCUCCAGUUUCUGUUCCACAGGGCCUCCAAGACUGGAACAAAGAAAGAAAAAAGUUAGCAGCAGACCAGAGGCUUGGACUGGAUGUUUGUAGUUGAGAGGACAAUGCUACAGGCACACAAUGGCCAGAUGGUGGUGUUAAACCUGGUAACAAAUGAAGUCUACUGCCCCCAAAUGAGAAAGAUCAUUCUAACAGUCUUGUACACAGUUACUGUCUAACAAAUACCACUAAAGAUAAAGGAAUAAAGCUUUCUCAGGUUCCAGGUUCUCUGGAGUAUAUAAUCCCAGCUGGAUUGGAUGCCAGCCUCUCACAGGAAUACUCAUUCUGGCCAGCUGAAUGAAUGGGAGCAAUGUAAAAUGAAAUGUUUAGCUCAAGAACACAAUACAUCAUCUGGUCCAAGAAUUGAAAUCACAAUCUUACGAUCUUGAGUCCACCAUUGUAAACACUAAGCCAUGCACUUCCACAUCAAAUGCCACUUUCAAGGCUUUAGUAGACCAGUGGCUAUGGUAGAAGACAUUCUCCCAAGGUGGCAUUGAAUUGAAACCAUGUUGUGAAGUGAACUUCUUAACUAUAAAGCCAUGUUUUGUAUCUCAGGAAAAGAAAAGAAAAAAGAAAACAAAAAGUAAUUCUCGAUAUUUACCUGAUACAGUUGAAUCAUUUAUUGACUAUUCUUUUCAUGAAUAUCUUCCUUUUCAGCAGAUUUACAUUGUUUCAUUAUGUUGUAUAUACAUUAAUUCAGCAUUGAAUUUAACUAACACAGAUUUAAUGGUUUAUUCCAUUUCAAUACAAAAGAGAUUGCUAAAGAAGAAGGAAAAUAACAAAAGAAAAAUUCCUAUAGAACAAUAACUCAGCACAUUGUUUAUGCAUAAAAGAAAAGAAGCUAUACAAAUAUAAUGACAUAUAAAAGAAAAAUAUAAUUAUAUCUAGCAAGUACAUAAUUAAAUGCAGCCAAAGCAUAAUUGGGAUAUAGAGUAAACAUAAUUUUUCUGGGGGACAACAAUAAUAUACAAGUGUGGGGAGUUCACAAUAAAAUAUAGGACAAAGGUGACGAUUUACAGAAUAUACUGUACAGUAACACAAGGUUUAUAUUAGCACUUCAAAUAAAUUCACAUCAACUUAAUGAGUUAACAUUGACUUCACAUCCACUUAAGAAGAAUUGAUAUCUUUGAUGAUAAACAAAGAUAUUUUAUACCUUUUCAUCAAUUGCUGUAUCAGAAAGAAUGCCAUAGAUGACCGAGCUUAUAGCCUAAUAGAAAAUCAGCUAAAGGGCUGGCAGUUUAUAACCAAGUAUCGCUGACAAUGUCAUGGUAUCAAUAGCCAAUAUAGUUUACUCUCAAUGGCCUGUUAUUAUUGCUGUUUGCCUCAAAUCAGCCUUGACUCAGUAGAUUUGGGACCAAAGGCAUUCCAGCUUUGACCAUCUUACUUUAUAGACAGUAUUUCGAUAUUUUCUUUAUUAAAUGUGUCCUUUCUCCUUUUAAGAUUGUGGUAUUUGACACAAAAGUGAUUUGGCUGCUAUCUCUAGCAGAUUGAGUGUUCGUAUGUAAGCUCCCUUAGUUGAUUGUCUAUAUGCAAAUAGCCCUUAUUUGUUUCUUUUUAUCAUUUCGUCAGGAGGAGAAGCACUGCUCAUGGCUCUUUACAUGGCCUCCGACACUAUGGAGAGAAGAAAGGUACGCUUAAUUCAGAGAUCUGGUCUAAAUGUUAAAGGCUGUUAAGCACCAGGUGAUCGUGUUAAAUUGGGUGAUGGAUUACACUUACCACCCAAGUGGAUAUAAUUUAGGCUCAAAAAGCAAAGUGGAACAAAUACUAUGAGGUAUCUAAGCUGAUGCUUCUACAAUUCUGCCAUUCCACUACAUCAGAUCUGUACUUAUCAAUCCCAGAAGGAUAAAAGGAAAAUUUGUCUGCAGUGAAUGAGAUUUGAACUCAUAACACAAGAAGCUUGAAUAAAUACCACAAAGCAUUUCGCUAUUGCUCUUAUGAAUGUGCCAAUUCACUAAUUAGUAACAUUUUGAAACUGAUAAAUACAUUUUAUUAGUUUGCUGUAAGGAAGUCAAACUUCUCUUGUAGUCAAGGUGAGUAAAGGUGUUGACUUUCUCAACUCUCAUCCAGUGUAUGGAAGUAUACCAUGGUACCUUCUGUGGUUCUUGACCGAAGAGGCUAUCCCCUUUCUAAAAUAUUAUUCGAAAGUGUUGUAGUAUACAUGUACUUAUUCUUGUAUCGAAUAUGCUAUAUCAUUUGGGUUAUAUCCUAGCCUCUGGAGAUGAUGUUAGCCUAUAGCAAAUUUUGCAUAUCGAAGAAUUUUUUACGGAGAACUCCAAGUUAGCAAAGCACUUAUUACUGGUCACUGUUGUUUACAUCGGUGAAUUUGAUGCUUGUUUGCAAGUAUAUAGCUCUGGUCACUGGAAGCUAUGUUAUUUUGCCAGAAACACAGCUAAAUAUCAUGAAUGAAAAACAGAAAAAAGAAAAAGCCUUAUUUACAAUUCUGCUGUAUUUAUACAGCAGAAUUAUGAAGCUAAAAACCUCAAAACUGUGAUUUUAUUCUUGUUGUUGUUGAUGAUGAUGAAGAUGAUAAAGAUGAUGAUGAUGACAACAGGAUACUAAUAGAUAAAUAAAAAGCAAAAAGUCUCUCUGUUUC